AGCAAGAAGGGUACAAUUACAGAAAGGCUACCUUGCGUUAAACAUUUAGUUGUGAUGCUUGGCUCUGAAUUUGUUCAGACAUGUAAUUUAAAGAAAAAAGACACUGGAUUGAAAUAUAUGCCAAAUUUCCAUGGGAUAUUGGUGGCUUGGUUCCCUUAGGUUCCUUUGAAACCUCUGUACAAGUUGCAUCUAAGCUGUAUUUCUAUAAGUAAAGACGUUUGGGUCCUUAUCGUUUCUACUGUUUCAACUAUUCAUUCAAGCUAACAGGUUUGUGCAAGUGGGUGUGUUUAAGGCAUACCAUUUUUUUUGCACCCAGAAGCAAACAGGAAAGCAGUGUAGCUAGCAGCAAACAUAGCUGCCUUUAAUUCUUCAGCUAGAACAUCCAGAUACCCAGUACCACUGGGUUGGCAUGGGGGAUUCUUUGGCAUAAAUUCAAAACAAAGCUCCACUUCCAUACCGGUUCUUCAGUGAGAUUUAUUACUCUGACACAGUGCCUUUGCCUUACCUAUGUAAAUAUUUACUUAAGGCAGAAGUUCAGCUAUCUUCAGUAUAAAAAGGUUUCAGCCCUUUAUCUCUCAAGACCCAUAGAGAACUGUCAAAUAGAUAUUUAGGCCGUGGCUUCACAAAUGCAGAAGCACAUGCAGAACUGAAUCUUUAUGGUGUGUCUUAGCUUACAGUUUUUACCCGGAAUCUACUCCUUGCCAACAAUUUGUUGUACUUAACAUGUUUAUAAAGGCUGGUUUGGACCAACUCCAAAUAUUUGUUUCAGGAUACAAAUAUUUGAUUUUGGAAAGAACAAGGUAUUCUAAAGCAAACAUUUAGGGAGUGUCUACAGCCAUAACUGCUUUACCUUGCCUGAGCUGAUGGGCAGUGAAUUAAAUCAAGUGUAGAAAAACAAGCCAACAGUUUACAUACGAGUGUUCAUGGGUCUUGUUUUUAGUGUUUUGAUAGCCUCAUGAGGUCCCCUGGGCAACCACCUGCAUUAUAUCACCUUCCAAAUAUGCGUGGAAGGAGAAAAUAAUGCAUUUUUCAGUUGUUCUGAUUUUGGGGGAAAAAUAAAAUAGGAAAAAGUUGGAAAACACUUUUUUAAUGCUUAUUAAGAUACAGAUCUGAAGCUGUAUUAGCCAGUCAGUUCUUGAAUUUACCAGCAUUUUGUUUGAUCUCUAAUAUACGUGCUUUACAGACCUCUUUUGGCCAUUAAGUUUCGAACAGGAAAAAGAACCUAGAGCUCGAAACAGUUAAUGCAGAACUCUGCUCUGAAGCAGUGCGGGCUGAGCCAGGCAGACAAUAGGAAGGAAAUCCCACCCUCCCCGAGCGCUGGGCAGCAGCAUGUUUCCUCAUAGGCAGUGAGAAAUGUUUGUUAAAACAAACGCUGGGUUGGGGCUGUCUCCAGCCCCCCCUCCCCAGGCCGAGGAUUGGCUGCCAAGGCAGGCGAGAGGCGAGGAGGGGCCGGGGGAAAAUUCAGGCAUUUCCUCCGUCUUCGGCCUUGAAGGUCCCUGGAAACACGAACAAACGUGGAGCUGGGUGUCUGCAGCAAGAUGAGUACGUCUCAGGCUGAAGUCGUUCAGUUUGCGAAUGAGCUUACUGAUCAAAACCCAGCAGCUCAUGAUGUAAUUGUAAGGGUUCCAGACAUCUGUUUUCUUACUUGGUUGUGGAAGAAGAAAAUGCACCACAAAUGCAGUGUUAGAAAGCAAACACGAUAAAGUUGCUUCGUUUUGGACAGAAAGUGCAUACAAUAGAAGUGCAUCAGGCUGCACGUGUGCUUUAAGCUUUUGCCAGUCUUGCUGUGCUCGCCAAGUCUAUAAUAAAAUAUGUUGUUAUCCAUGUUUCACAUGGAAGCAGUUUGGAGGGCAGGAGAAGCUGUUUAAAGAAGGAGCACUCUGUUGCCAGAAUGCGUAGCAUCCAGACCAAGAAUGUAAUUUGCUGCCUUGAGUUAAAGGUGUGUUUGAACAGGUUCGAGGAAACGUGAUCCAUUGCAGGUUGGAUCUAAACAAGCCACUCGAUGUGGGAAGUCCCCAAGCUGAAAGCAGCUGGAGGCUGGGACACUAGCAGGCAUAAACACCAUGCAGGUCUGGCUGGCACUGUGUCCCCACAGUGCCCUGUUUGCCCACUACACCUCCUGGACAUGAGGAAACUUCUGCUGCCUACUCUUUCCUUUUAAAUAAUACUACUCCUUCCCAGGAGACUGUAUUGCUCUGAAUUCCAGCACUAGUUAAUGCUGUCACAUAUGCACUCUUUUAUUCUUACCAUGCUGUUUUGCCAUGCUCUUGGUUCAGAAGUACAACAUAUACGAGUAUGGAUGGUUCCAGAUACCGGACUCAGGACAAGGAAAGCAUCAUUUGAAUGCUGCACUUGGUACUGCCUUUGCUAGGCUAAUGAAUGAGUCCAGCCUUUUCCACUGGGACUUUCCACCAUCCAUCUCACUGAUCCAAACCUACCCACUUAGGAGCUCAAGUCUGUAUCUGGCUUUGUAGGAGGGGUUGGUGCCGACACACUUCAGUGUGUGCUCAGCUCCCAGCCAUGCUGAAAGAAAAACAACUUUAAUGUAUUUCCUGAGAGGCGACUCUUCUGUGUUGUGAUCGGAAAAGUAUUAAUGCAACGAACUGAUGUGAAUUUUUCAUCAGAACAAAGCUUAGCAACAUGGUUUUCUUUCUGGGAAAAAUCUCAGCAAUGUACUUAAUUUAGGAAGUUGAGGGGAAGGGAACAAAACGGUAAUAAAAACAGAAUACGGAAAUCCACCAAGCUGAGAUCAGAGGAUGGGAGUCUUAUAAGGAGAAACUUGUGCUGUUCCUUUUCUUCCCCAGGCAUCAAAAAGAAAAUAGCUGGCUGUGGCACAGGGCUGAGGAACCUCAACAUCUGCUUUUGCUGAAGCUGUCCAAGGAAGGAAUGCAUGCUACCCCAAGGAUGAUGCAGAUGAACUUAAAGAGGACCUCAAGGGAAGCAGGAGGGCAGUGGAGGCUCAAACCUUCCCAGCUGGGUGGACAUAGCUCAGGAGGGAUCCAUGUUAUGAUGUUGUUGCCUUGAGAGUAUCAACAGCUUCAAACAUUAAAAACAUUUGCCUGCAGUGGGGAUGCUGAAAAUGUCAUACCAGCUCAGCAGUUGACAGCGCAGAUAGGAGUGAAGUUAUCAAGGUCAGCCUGUGUAAAACAGCAGUGAUGCUAAGAACGUGAAAGCACUUACUGAAUUUCCCAGCGUGGCUUAGACUCACUCAGAAUCAUCUGAAGCCGUAGAUGGGAAAGACGGAUGCCCAUCUUGUGUUCCAGCAUGGCACUCACUUCUGUUUGCUUUGCUGGAACAGCAUUACACCUCUUAAGAAAGAAUUUAAACCCUCUCAGCAGAGGUUUCCUUCUCCUGCAGCCCACUGUUGUCUGAGUGGAAAACCACAUUUUUGAGAGCCCCCAUGUUGCAGUGUGAGAAUUUGUUUGUAUUCCAUUGUUUGGAGGGAGAAUGAAGAUUUAUUUGAUUGAUUUAUUUGCAGAUGAGGAUUGUUUAAUUAUUUAGGCGUCCAUAUGCCCAACAAUGGGCAUAUUAAUAUACUCCAAAGUCAUGGGGUUGGUUUUUUUUUGUGUGUGUGUGUUUUAUUUUGGUCUUUUGUUAUUUAGAAGACUUUAAGAAAUAAGAGAAGCAGAGUACAAAAACAGAUAAAUGAUUCACACACAGUGUUUUCCACUUUGAGAUAAACAUCCGAUAACGAACCCAGGCCUAAAGCGUAUAUGUUGGCAAUCAAUUCUUCUGCACAGCCAGACAUUUAUAAAUAUGGUUUAUUUUGAUUAUGUGCUUUUCAAUAAAUGUCUGCGUUUUUGUUUAUAACUCUUGAGUUGCCAACAUGUUUUGCUAAGAAUUUGCAGGAUGGGGAUAUAUGAUAAGAACUACUUUCACAAUCUGUUAAACUGACAUCUUUUGGAAGAAUCAUGUGUAUUUUCCUCUGAAAAAAAAAAGUAUUGUGAAAGGCUGCUUAUGACAGAAGGAACCUAAAAUCUGCUUUAACCUACUCCCUGCAUAGUCAAGUAGUUGAAACAGUUAUUUUAAUAGCGUAACAGAUUUGUAGAGAAGUAACAAUGAAUUUCAGUAAUCUUCUGCUACCUUUGUGCUUAGACAAAUGUUACAGUCAGAACAAAGUCUCUCUGGCAUUUCAUUUCUUUACCUUAGUAGUUGGGUCCAUAAAAGCAGGCUUUUUUGUGCUCAGGGGAGACACACCAUUUCAGAAGUUUAUGGAAAAAAAAAAUAAUGGGAGUUAUUUUGUGUUAAGCAAAUUAUAAACAAGCAGGAACAUGAAACUUUGGCACGCACUAGCAAGUAGGACUCCAAGAAACUUGUCGAUUUCUAUUCAGAGCAGUCUCUGUAAAUAUUCUUGGCUUUUCUUUGGCUUCGGCUCACUUUACUACACUGACACUUUACUACAGCUAAGAGUUAUGUGUUAUUUUAUCUCUCCAAAGCCAUAAAGGGAUUAGGCCCACAUUACGAUAAAUUCUAUGAGGAUGUAUAGAAUAUACUGUUCUUCCCUGAAGAUCUUCCUUGGUUGUCUUCAGGGUUAGAGAUAGAAAAGGCAGGGAGAAAAGAUUCAAUAUGUGCAUAGAAAUAGUUGUUUAGCAACUUCAGUUUUGGAUUUUGAUGAACUGUAUUCAAACUCUUCUUAUCAUUUCAUUAUGUUUUUAUACAGUCCUUUCCUUUCCAAGUGUUUUUUGGGUACUGUUUUCCUCCUUUACUCUUAUGUAUCAUUACAAAAAACUGAAUCCUAACUUUUAGUUUUGCCUUUUUUUUCCGUAAGUAAACUAGAUAUGAUCAUGCUUUGUGCGUGUAAGAGAGGCAAAGAGUGGGAAAACGUUACAAGUUGUGUGAAAGUACAUGGCAGGAUGGGUAGAGGAGCAUCUGCAGAACCCUUCAUUAGACAAACUGGAACAAUAUUUUUACAAAAAGCCACAGGAAACAGCUCCACUGUGCAACAAACUGCUUGUGUGUUUGAAUAAACCUCUACUCCUCUGACACUUUGUAUCGGCAUAUAAGAUGUAUUUGUAGUUUCAGUGAUCACUCAUAGAUCUAUCUGGAUAUUCAGAGACACAGCUUCCUACCUGCAGAAAGAAGAGCUGCUGAGUGCUUAAUGUUUUUACAUACAUUUGUACCUUGAAAUUCAGAACACUGUUUUCCUUAGCAAACCCCAUCCUUCAACAAGAGAUUAAUCACAAACGAAGGAUUAAGAGCAUUAGUUGAUUAUCACCAGGAGUGGCAAAAUACCAACCUCAUCACAUGCAAUCCAAAUAAUUUUAACAGGCAUACUGUCAUAUUGAAUUGUGAUUGCAUACAGGCAUAUACGUGUUUCACCUUUCUGUGUCACCUUUGAUCAUUCAUUCUGUUCCAACUGCAAACAGUACCAUUCCCAUUGUCCUACAGAGAUAGGAAUCUGGAAUGAGUAUCCUGUGGGCACUUUGUUGAGCUUGCAAGUAGUAACAGCUUCUGAGAAGACACAUCUAUCCCUACUGUUCUUUACAUGUUUGACUGUCCAGACCUCAAAAAAUAUUGAAAGGUAAGAACAGAUUUUAUUGGAAAAUUACAGAUUGUAUGUAUAUAUGAUAUCUGACUUUGCUUAGCUUAGAGGAAUUACAACCAGUUUUUCAGUGAAGCUGUUUCAGCAUUGCACUUUUGAGAAGCUUUUAUUAAUCAUAAGCCCUUAGGCACAUCCUAUAUGAAUUUUUGGCAUGAAACAGUGUGCAUUCAGCUACACUCCUGCAAUUCAGCUGAGUCCUGUAUGUAAUGUUUUUCUCAUCUCACUCUGACAUACUUAUGUUUAUAGAACUGAAAACACAAUGGAAGAGCAAUAAAACAGAAUGUUGAUGGAAACAGAGCACAAAAAUGUGACAUCUUUCUUCCUGAGAAAGUGCAAUACCUGGACAAUCACAGCAGCUUUGUUAUGGUCAGCAUAUAAAGUGCUUUUGUUUCAAAGAAUGUUUGGUAGCUAUCAGUUUUUGCUUAGCCUCUGAUCAAGGCCAGGCUGGAUGGGGCUGUGAGC